AAAAAAAAAAAGAUAAUACCGUUCGCCUAGCAAACAUCACUUGCCAUCUAUCCACUGCUGUUGGCUUGAGGUAUUAAUCAAAAUUACAGAUCAAAUUCAACAGCAAAGAUGACAUUCCCAUCUCUAGUUUUGCAAAAAUAUCGUAAAGGUUGACCAUUAUAGUAAUUUUUUAUUGAGAAACUCAUUUUUGUAUAAGGAAUAGAGAUGCUCAAGGUGCUAGGAUUGAAAAAGGGAUUGCAGAAAUCAGCAAGUAUGUAUUUAUUGGGAUCAAUGGAUGAUUCUUGGCGAAUAACCUGUUGCUGCAUUUGUGAGCGUCUGCUUGAAUGAUCUUCAAAAUACUCCAUGGGAAGCAAUGCAUCUGAUACUUGCAUCUUUGUCAUCGUAGCGAAGAAAGGAGAAAAUGCCCAAGGCUGAUCGCAAUAUAAAUCGAAUUCGAUACUUGGAUCGACAUAUUGCAGUCCCUUCAUCAGUAGGUUGGAACCCAUGGGUAGAACAUCACGAAGUGGUUUUUCAAAUUGAUUUCCAAAUAAAAUGUCAUCUGCGGUCAACGUACUCUCUGUAGGUAAAAAUCUGCCUCGUAUCAUAAUAGAACAAGUAUCGUUGGAUUGCUCGAAAUAUUCUUCGUCUGGAGUUUCAUAAU